rnacentral:misc_RNA from 1 species
UCCCCGUUACCGGGGCAGUCUGAAUAGAAAAAUACAACUAUUCAUAAGGGUUGCGCUCGUUGAAGGACUUAACCUAACAUCUCACGACACGAGCUGACGACGGCCAUGCAACACCUGUCACUGAGUUCCGGCUCUCAAUACACAAUCUAUAUUAUGUACUCAGAGCCGGCACUCACUCCUUUCGGAGUAAUCCUCAGGAUGUCAAGUCUGGGUAAGGUUCUUGGCUUAGCAUCCAAUUAAACAACACGCUCCACCGCUUGUGCGGGUCCCCGUCAAUUCCUUUGAGUUUUAAUCUUGCGACCGUACUCCCCAGGCGGGAUGCUUAACGCGUUAGCUUCGCUACUGAACGGGUCGAUACGUCCAACAGCUAGCAUCCAUAGUUUACGGCGUGGACUAC